rnacentral:lncRNA from 1 species
UGGUUGAUUAUAUAGGGAAUCAUUGAUGCAUGACUGGAGCGGCCCCCCCCCCUUUAGUCAAAGUUCUGGAUCCGCCACUGAAAUGUAAUAAUCUGAAUAGUCACUCAACUUUAAAAAUAGCCAAUCUCGUAAGAAACGUCGCACGCUACUGGUGUUACUUUGGUAAAAUCACGGACAAGACACAUUCAUCUUAUUAAUUUUUAAACAUAAAAAUUGAUAUUAUAAAGUGUUGUAUAUCAUUUUAAAGCUUUUAAACUCUUCUUUCAGAUUAUUGCAAUUUUGUAUAUGUAACAGACCAUUUUCAUUAAUUAAAACUCAAUAAAACCUUUAUUUUGCAAUAUGAUUUCCUUGUCCCGCG